UACGUAGGGUGCGAGCGUUGUCCGGAAUUAUUGGGCGUAAAGGGCUCGUAGGCGGUUUGUCACGUCGGGAGUGAAAACUCGGGGCUUAACCCCGAGCCUGCUUCCGAUACGGGCUGACUAGAGGUAUGCAGGGGAGAACGGAAUUCCUGGUGUAGCGGUGAAAUGCGCAGAUAUCAGGAGGAACACCGGUGGCGAAGGCGGUUCUCUGGGCAUUACCUGACGCUGAGGAGCGAAAGUGUGGGGAGCGAACGGG
rnacentral:rRNA from 1 species